AGGAGAGAACGCUGGGUUGAAGUGGCUUAUUGGAGUCCUAGGUGGAAACUGUGGCAGAGCCCGGAGCCCUUCUUCCUUGUUCGGGCAAGGCUGUCCCAGUGCUCGGGCUGCUUUUGUGGAGGGCUGGUCCGCUCUGCCUGGCAGGAAGAGGGAAGGAACACACAAGGUGAUCACAGAUUGUGACCAAUGCUGUGAAGAAAAGAAACAGCUUGAUGCUGUAACAACUGGGGAAGGACUCUCUGGGGAGAAGAUGAGAGUGGACCAGCCCAAGGAAAAGUGUUCCAGGCAGAAGGAACAGCAGGUGCAAAGGCCCAGAGGAGGAACGUUGAUGAGGAACAAAAACACAGCUAGACGUCAGUGAAGGUUGGAGAGUUAGAGUAAGUUGGAUCCUGCCAGGCCUAUUUGGCCACAGCAGAUUUAAGAAAGAGGAAGCUCUUGAAGGAUUUUAAACACGGGGAGAGGUAAUUUGCCAUUGCGUUGUCUGAAGUUCCUUGCAGGACAAAGACCCUUCCUUGGCGGGGUGGGUACUUAAACCCAGUCAAGACCAACCCAUCCUCCAAAUUAGUCUUGUGCUCUACCAGGCUUUUAGAAUAGGUCCAAUCUUCAUCAGAAAGCAUAGGGUUUGCUUUGUGCCAACCUGGCCCUCCAGUUCUGUAGGGAGCAGGUGUUGAGCCAUGGGCAGCAGACAUCACUGUAGCCUUGGAUGUAGUUUAUUACAGUGCGGGAGCACUGUCCUGUGAUGUGGUGGGGGACUCAGCAUUACUGAACUUAGCAAGGCCGCUGGCCAGGGGCAGAACCUAUCAUUUGAAAUACGUAUAAUUAUUUUGCUUAUUUAUGCCUUCUGUCUUUAGACUGUGAGUGCUGAGAAGCCAAAGACCACCUGGACUUUUAUCCCUGUGUUUCCAGUGCUUGCCUGCAGCAGGUACUCCACAGACACUUGUGAAAGCGUGGAGGAUUGGAGGAAAAGGGCAGAGGUAAUUUAGCUCUGCUUUUGUAGGAAACAGAAAGGGGAAGAGGACUUGUAAGCAGUAAAAUAUAAACAUCAAAACAACCUACAUUUGCUUCUGCAGAAAUGCUUGUUUUGAAGGUAGGAAUUUGUUCUAACGCAGUUUAAAGGAGCAUACCUACAUUCCCCAGUGAAAAACACAAAGCAAAAUUCCAAACCAGGGGUUCCCGUUGUGGUGCAGUGGUUAACGAAUCCCACUAGGAACCAUGAGGUUGUGGGUUCAACUCCUGGCCUUGCUCAGUGGGUUGGGGAUCCGGCGUUGCCGUGAGCUGUGGUGUGGGUCUCAGACGCGGCUGGGAUCCCGCGUUGCUGUGGCUGUGGUGUGGGUGGCAGACACGGCUGGGAUCCUGCAUUG
rnacentral:lncRNA from 1 species